AUUCUAUACAUCAGGGUGGGAGCUUCACCUGGAACUGGUCACCCAGUUCAAUCGCCACAAAAUCAUACAUCUGUACCUCCUUUUUUGUUUAAUUAGCCCAGAGUUUCAUAUUAGAACGCAUUUGAUAGUAGAGUUCCUGCUAGUUACUCUCAAACAUAAAGGGAGUGCUACCCAGGUGAAGUUGUCAUCAACAGAAGCAUCCCAAACACCCUAGGAUGGAGCUGGUGCAGGACUCAGAAAACAUUUGCAAAUUAAAUAAAAAUGUUGUGAUCGUCACCUUUUCAUCAUGAUGAGAAGAAAGAAAUCUGUCUUACCCUCUUUAAAACACUGCAAAUGACAUAGGAGUUUCUGAUUAUUUCAUUUUUGUUAUGAUUCAUUCUCCCCCCACCCCAUAUCAUGAUUCCUAUUUUCUCACUGGCACAUUUCUAAUUUUAUGCAAAAGUACAGAUCAAACAUCUAAGUUUGAAUCAGACUCACUAUGAAGAACGUAAGUUAAGUGGGGUGUCUUGGAACUGGAGAUGCAUCCCAAAACCUAAUAUCCUGCAUUUUUUUUCAGUCCAAAUCUCAGUUUGUAUAGAUGGGAAACACUCCUGCUCUUCCCUUUUGCCAUCCUACAUGCUUCAUAGCAAGUAAACGAUAAGUUUAUUGUUUACUUGCCAUCCUACCAUUCAGGAAGGUAAAUAGAAAUACCUUCAUAAGACCAAUGAGAAUUGAAGUUAUUAAAGAUUUUUUUGACCACUACUGGAUCAAAUGACACAGUCUGGAGAAGACUGCUUUCCAACCCAUCACCAAUCAAAUAACAGCUUUGGUUUCUUUCCUUUCAUGGUCUAGUCUUACUUUUAAUAUAGUUUUUCCUAUUGUCCCAGUAGUCUGGCAUGUUAUAAUUUCAAAAUAACAUAUUAAUCUCUGAUUUUUCAAAAACAUGGCUUUAAUUCUGCCUGAAUCUUACAAACUUUCUG
rnacentral:lncRNA from 1 species